CAUGAGAUAGGGUCUAGGGUUUCUUUCUAGCCUUAGGCAUUGGGUUUGGGAAGAGAAAAAAUAAGAAAGAAAUGAGUUUUUCCUCUUCACCCUCUUCUACCACCUCUUCUUCCUCCUAAAAGUCUUCCUCUUCUCUGGAGGAGUCCGAGAGAUUCGAAGAAGAUUUUAGUUCAGCCAUCAAGAGAAGAAGUCUGCAAAAGAGCUAGCAUCCCAGUGACUUCGACAAUCUCUGAUCGUGCAAGGUGCCUUAUGUAGAUACCUAUGGAGGUCGGGUGCUUGCAUGGCUUGAGGAACC
rnacentral:lncRNA from 1 species